AGGCACGAGAGGGAGAGUGGCCUUGGGUAAGAGUUGUGUAUGCUGUGCAUAAGUGUCGCGCGGGAGGUGUAGGUGGGCCGAGGCGUGAGCGGAUGCCCGGAUGUGUGUAUGCACGGCAUGCAUCUUACAUACAAGAGGAGUGAGUACACCCACCCCUACCCCACCAUGCCCUCACCCCUCCACACACCUUGAUCUUAUUUGAUGGGGUCGUGACCCCAGCCUCACCAGGUCCCUUCUGUUAAGCCCUGUCUUUGGGGUCUAUGCAGCAAGGCCCUUGGGCAGUGGCAACACCGGGGUCCCAGAGUCCCAGAGCUGGUCCAACAGGGCCUUGCCCUCAGAAGUGUGAACUGAUCAGAUAGACGGGGCUGCACUUAUCCCGGGCCGCUGAUUACUGAGGCAAUUCUGAUCUGA